AUUGAACGCUGGCGGCAUGCCUUACACAUGCAAGUCGAACGGCAGCACGGGAGCAAUCCUGGUGGCGAGUGGCGAACGGGUGAGUAAUGUAUCGGAACGUGCCCAGUCGUGGGGGAUAACGUAGCGAAAGCUACGCUAAUACCGCAUACGAUCUAUGGAUGAAAGCGGGGGAUCGCAAGACCUCGCGCGAUUGGAGCGGCCGAUAUCAGAUUAGGUAGUUGGUGGGGUAAAGGCCCACCAAGCCUGCGAUCUGUAGCUGGUCUGAGAGGACGACCAGCCACACUGGAACUGAGACACGGUCCAGACUCCUACGGGAGGCAGCAGUGGGGAAUUUUGGACAAUGGGCGCAAGCCUGAUCCAGCAAUGCCGCGUGCAGGAUGAAGGCCUUCGGGUUGUAAACUGCUUUUGUACGGAGCGAAAAGGCUUCCACUAAUACUGGGGGCUCAUGACGGUACCGUAAGAAUAAGCACCGGCUAACUACGUGCCAGCAGCCGCCGUAAGAC
rnacentral:rRNA from 1 species